rnacentral:rRNA from 1 species
AACACGUGGGUAACCUACCUAUAAGACUGGGAUAACUUCGGGAAACCGGAGCUAAUACCGGAUAAUAUUUCGAACCGCAUGGUUCGAUAGUGAAAGAUGGCUUUGCUAUCACUUAUAGAUGGACCUGCGCCGUAUUAGCUAGUUGGUAAGGUAACGGCUUACCAAGGCAACGAUACGUAGCCGACCUGAGAGGGUGAUCGGCCACACUGGAACUGAGACACGGUCCAGACUCCUACGGGAGGCAGCAGUAGGGAAUCUUCCGCAAUGGGCGAAAGCCUGACGGAGCAACGCCGCGUGAGUGAUGAAGGUCUUCGGAUCGUAAAACUCUGUUAUUAGGGAAGAACAAACGUGUAAGUAACUGUGCACGUCUUGACGGUACCUAAUCAGAAAGCCACGGCUAACUACGUGCCAGCAGCCGCGGUAAUACGUAGGUGGCAAGCGUUAUCCGGAAUUAUUGGGCGUAAAGCGCGCGUAGGCGGUUUUUUAAGUCUGAUGUGAAAGCCCACGGCUCAACCGUGGAGGGUCAUUGGAACUGGAAAACUUGAGUGCAGAAGAGGAAAAGUGGGAAUUCCAUGUGUAGCGGUGAAAUGCGCAGAGAUAUGGAGGAACACCAGUGGCGAAGGCGACUUUUCUGGGCCUGUAC